rnacentral:tRNA from 1 species
GGCUUUGUAGUGUAAACUAACAUUUCGGAUUGCAAAUCCUUAAACGCAGUUAAUAGCUGCCAAAGCUU